GGUUAAGCGACUAAGCGUACACGGUGGAUGCCCUGGCAGUCAGAGGCGAUGAAGGACGUGCUAAUCUGCGAUAAGCGUCGGUAAGGUGAUAUGAACCGUUAUAACCGGCGAUUUCCGAAUGGGGAAACCCAGUGUGAUUCGUCACACUAUCAUUAACUGAAUCCAUAGGUUAAUGAGGCGAACCGGGGGAACUGAAACAUCUAAGUACCCCGAGGAAAAGAAAUCAACCGAGAUUCCCCCAGUAGCGGCGAGCGAACGGGGAGCAGCCCAGAGCCUGAAUCAGUGUGUGUGUUAGUGGAAGCGUCUGGAAAGGCGUGCGAUACAGGGUGACAGCCCCGUACACAAAAAUGCACAUACUGUGAGCUCGAUGAGUAGGGCGGGACACGUGGUAUCCUGUCUGAAUAUGGGGGGACCAUCCUCCAAGGCUAAAUACUCCUGACUGACCGAUAGUGAACCAGUACCGUGAGGGAAAGGCGAAAAGAACCCCGGCGAGGGGAGUGAAAAAGAACCUGAAACCGUGUACGUACAAGCAGUGGGAGCACGCUUAGGCGUGUGACUGCGUACCUUUGUAUAAUGGGUCAGCGACUUAUAUUCUGUAGCAAGGUUAACCGAAUAGGGGAGCCGAAGGGAAACCGAGUCUUAACUGGGCGUUAAGUUGCAGGGUAUAGACCCGAAACCCGGUGAUCUAGCCAUGGGCAGGUUGAAGGUUGGGUAACACUAACUGGAGGACCGAACCGACUAAUGUUGAAAAAUUAGCGGAUGACUUGUGGCUGGGGGUGAAAGGCCAAUCAAACCGGGAGAUAGCUGGUUCUCCCCGAAAGCUAUUUAGGUAGCGCCUCGUGAAUUCAUCUCCGGGGGUAGAGCACUGUUUCGGCAAGGGGGUCAUCCCGACUUACCAACCCGAUGCAAACUGCGAAUACCGGAGAAUGUUAUCACGGGAGACACACGGCGGGUGCUAACGUCCGUCGUGAAGAGGGAAACAACCCAGACCGCCAGCUAAGGUCCCAAAGUCAUGGUUAAGUGGGAAACGAUGUGGGAAGGCCCAGACAGCCAGGAUGUUGGCUUAGAAGCAGCCAUCAUUUAAAGAAAGCGUAAUAGCUCACUGGUCGAGUCGGCCUGCGCGGAAGAUGUAACGGGGCUAAACCAUGCACCGAAGCUGCGGCAGCGACGCUUAUGCGUUGUUGGGUAGGGGAGCGUUCUGUAAGCCUGUGAAGGUGUGCUGUGAGGUAUGCUGGAGGUAUCAGAAGUGCGAAUGCUGACAUAAGUAACGAUAAAGCGGGUGAAAAGCCCGCUCGCCGGAAGACCAAGGGUUCCUGUCCAACGUUAAUCGGGGCAGGGUGAGUCGACCCCUAAGGCGAGGCCGAAAGGCGUAGUCGAUGGGAAACAGGUUAAUAUUCCUGUACUUGGUGUUACUGCGAAGGGGGACGGAGAAGGCUAUGUUGGCCGGGCGACGGUUGUCCCGGUUUAAGCGUGUAGGCUGGUUUUCCAGGCAAAUCCGGAAAAUCAAGGCCGAGGCGUGAUGACGAGGCACUACGGUGCUGAAGCAACAAAUGCCCUGCUUCCAGGAAAGCCUCUAAGCAUCAGGUAACAUCAAAUCGUACCCCAAACCGACACAGGUGGUCAGGUAGAGAAUACCAAGGCGCUUGAGAGAACUCGGGUGAAGGAACUAGGCAAAAUGGUGCCGUAACUUCGGGAGAAGGCACGCUGAUACGUAGGUGAAGCGACUUGCUCGUGGAGCUGAAAUCAGUCGAAGAUACCAGCUGGCUGCAACUGUUUAUUAAAAACACAGCACUGUGCAAACACGAAAGUGGACGUAUACGGUGUGACGCCUGCCCGGUGCCGGAAGGUUAAUUGAUGGGGUUAGCGCAAGCGAAGCUCUUGAUCGAAGCCCCGGUAAACGGCGGCCGUAACUAUAACGGUCCUAAGGUAGCGAAAUUCCUUGUCGGGUAAGUUCCGACCUGCACGAAUGGCGUAAUGAUGGCCAGGCUGUCUCCACCCGAGACUCAGUGAAAUUGAACUCGCUGUGAAGAUGCAGUGUACCCGCGGCAAGACGGAAAGACCCCGUGAACCUUUACUAUAGCUUGACACUGAACAUUGAGCCUUGAUGUGUAGGAUAGGUGGGAGGCUUUGAAGUGUGGACGCCAGUCUGCAUGGAGCCGACCUUGAAAUACCACCCUUUAAUGUUUGAUGUUCUAACGUGGACCCGUGAUCCGGGUUGCGGACAGUGUCUGGUGGGUAGUUUGACUGGGGCGGUCUCCUCCUAAAGAGUAACGGAGGAGCACGAAGGUUGGCUAAUCCUGGUCGGACAUCAGGAGGUUAGUGCAAUGGCAUAAGCCAGCUUGACUGCGAGCGUGACGGCGCGAGCAGGUGCGAAAGCAGGUCAUAGUGAUCCGGUGGUUCUGAAUGGAAGGGCCAUCGCUCAACGGAUAAAAGGUACUCCGGGGAUAACAGGCUGAUACCGCCCAAGAGUUCAUAUCGACGGCGGUGUUUGGCACCUCGAUGUCGGCUCAUCACAUCCUGGGGCUGAAGUAGGUCCCAAGGGUAUGGCUGUUCGCCAUUUAAAGUGGUACGCGAGCUGGGUUUAGAACGUCGUGAGACAGUUCGGUCCCUAUCUGCCGUGGGCGCUGGAGAACUGAGGGGGCUGCUCCUAGUACGAGAGGACCGGAGUGGACGCAUCACUGGUGUUCGGGUUGUCAUGCCAAUGGCACUGCCCGGUAGCUAAAUGCGGAAGAGAUAAGUGCUGAAAGCAUCUAAGCACGAAACUUGCCCCGAGAUGAGUUCUCCCUGACCCUUUAAGGGUCCUGAAGGAACGUUGAAGACGACGACGUUGAUAGGCCGGGUGUGUAAGCGCAGCGAUGCGUUGAGCUAACCGGUACUAAUGAACCGUGAGGCUUAACCUU
rnacentral:rRNA from 1 species